UACGGAGGGUGCAAGCGUUAUCCGGAUUUACUGGGUUUAAAGGGUGCGUAGGCGGGUCUUUAAGUUCAGUGGUUGAAAACAUUCGAGCUUAAACUCGAAAAACUGCCAUUGAUACUAUUGAUCUUGAAUUUAGUUGAGGUUGGCGGAAUGUGUCGUGUAGCGGUGAAAAUGCUUAGAUAUGACACAGAACACCGAUUGCGAAAGGCAGCUGGCUAAAACUAAAAAA
rnacentral:rRNA from 1 species